UAAUGCAGAUUUGAAAAUUCGGUACAAGUUGUUUGAGAAAUAAAUAGAAUCGUGAACAACCAUUGGGGAGGGGAUUCUAUGACAUAUUCAAGCACUCCACCGGCCAAAAAACAACUUUGGUGGAGCGAGUUCAAAGGUUGGUGAGGCGAACUAAAGGUCGGAGAAAAAAGCAAAGGAGAUUUGAGGGGGAGCAAAGCUUUUGUGGCAG